rnacentral:rRNA from 1 species
AACGAACGCUGGCGGCAGGCCUAACACAUGCAAGUCGAGCGGACCUUUCGGGGUCAGCGGCGGACGGGUGAGUAACGCGUGGGAAUAUGCCCUUCUCUACGGAAUAGUCCUGGGAAACUUGGGGUAAUACCGUAUACGCCCUUUGGGGGAAAGAUUUUUGGGUGAAGGAUUAGCCCGCGUUGGUUUAGGUAGUUGGUGGGGUAAUGGCCUACCAACCCCACGAUCCAUAGCUGGUGUGAGAGGAUGAUCAGCCACGCUGGGACUGAGACACGGCCCAGACUCCUACGGGAGGCAGGAGUGGGGAAUCUUAGACAAGGGGGGCAACCCUGAUCUAGCCAUGCCGCGUGAGUGAUGAAGGCCUUAGGGUUGUAAAGCUCUUUCAGCUGGGGAGAGAAUGACGGUACCAGCAGAAGAAGCCCCGGCUAACUCCGUG